rnacentral:tRNA from 1 species
GGAGGGGUGGCCGAGUGGCUAAAGGCGGCAGACUGUAAAUCUGUUGGGUUAUCCCUACGGAGGUUCGAAUCCUCCCCCCUCCA